AGAUUAUAUUAGGUUGGUACAAAAGCAAUCGUGGUUUUUGCUGUUACUUUUAAUGGCAAAAAUCGCAAUCACUUUUGCACCAACCUAAUAAAUUU
ensembl:miRNA